rnacentral:rRNA from 1 species
AUGAAGCGGAGAGUAUGCGGCGGAGAGUGGGGUACGGGAUGGUGCAGAUACCAUCACAGGGCCGCCUGCGAAUGGGUCGCGCGGAGCAGGGAUGGCGGUGGCGGAGCCUCGGUUGGGAGAUUCCGCGGGCAGCUUGGUGAAGGCUCCAACAGAGUACGGGGGGCCGUAGGGGCGGAGAUCUACGGCGGGCCGGCGUACAGCGAGAGAGAGGCAGCUAGUGGAUAUGUCAUGGAGGCAGAUGCAGGGGAUGGAGCCGUGGCUGGAGACCAGCUUGCUGUGGUUGAGGAGCGUGCCGGUAGUGAGGCUGCAGCAUCCGCACAGUCGACGGGGAAAAUCCAUCCGCAAGCUCCAUGGUGGACAAAAAGGAGAUCUGAUAUCGGUGAAGGCUGGAGUACAGACGCAGAGAUCAGUGAAGAGGUGCAUGAAGGUAGUGAUGGAGGGGUUAGUCAAGGGAUCAGAGGGGACGAGUGUGCUUCGUGCUGGUGA